UAUGUGCUUCUGUGAAGGAAUGAGGCCUCAACCUUCUAUUUUGUGUUACAGAUUUCUAUUGUUUACUCCCUAUGUUUUGUGUUAAAUGGCAGCACAGGGGCCAAAGGUUCACAGUUCUUGUUCUACAGUUUGGUUUGGGAGGAGAAAGAGUCUUACUGUUAACCUUUUGGAGGGAAGGGAGAGUUUGAUUUGAUUGGGUGUGCUUAAAAAAUGGCGGGAACCUGAGUUUGUUUUGAUUUGUUUGUUUGGAAAAACUGGAGCAGGUAAAGACAGUAAAAGGAGGCUUGCCUGCAGCAGAAAGUUAGCUGGAAUUGUAAUCUGAGAGAGCCAGGAGAGAAGCGCUGAGAGGAACUGCUGAAAACAGAGCUGAGAAAUUGCUGGGAGAGUUGAACUGAAACUCUCUUGAGGACUGAAUCACUCUCAAAGCCGCUGAAGGAACAGUCUGGAAUUGAACCCCCAGUGCUGGGAAGAAAGAGCAAGACCUGAGGCUGAGCAAGGGGAAAAGUCAGGCUUACUGCAGAAGCUGCUCAGAAAUGAUUGUAGGAAAACUCCUGUGAAGCCUCAGGAAAAGGCUUCUUGGCAGCACCCCAUGCCAUUCAGAGACCUAAAAGAAAAUUUAGAGGACCAAAAAUGUUCCUUUUGAAUGGAAGGAAAAGUGGCUGCUUGAUCAGUGCUCUCUCUGGAGCAAAGAAGACAUGAAGCAGCCUGUCUCCUGCCCCCACCUGGUCCCAGAGAAGGAUAGAGUGAGCAGAAACACUCAACGAACAAGAAAAGAUAUUCCAAGCGAUGACAUUCGCCUGGCAGAAUCACAGGAGCAUAACAAAUGCUUCCGGCAAUACUUUUGACUUGCACACUAUCCAAAUCGGCGUGCUUCUGCAGACCAGCUUCAUAAACCUGGGUUUCAAAUGCUCCUGGAUUCAACAGCAAGCCCAUGCACAGAGAGAAAGUAUCCAUUGUACAUCCCUGAGUAACUCUGAUGAAAAAGGUGAAGAACAACAUGCAAUCUAUUCAGAUUGCUUCAAAACCAUGGAAAAACAGCGACAGCUCAGAGAAGGACCUGAGCUCUGUUUCCUGAGCAGCUGCUGAGCCUGGGCAAGUGUUGAGAAAUCUGGGGGGAAAGUAGCCCCCGAGAG